UGCCAUAACCUUGGAUUCAAAUUAGGAGGAGAAUGUGUGCCACCAAUUAGAGAAAUCUGUUGCUGUAAUAGAGAUCCUUCUUUCUAUUGAAAAAAGCAUGCCACACCUGUAUUUUCCUCUUAAUUUCUUGCUUAAUGGUGAGCUAUAAACAAUAAUUAAUGUAUUACAAAAUAUCAUGAGGACAUAUAUGAAACAUCUUUAUAG
rnacentral:lncRNA from 1 species